rnacentral:siRNA from 1 species
GUCAUCCGCGGUUUCUUUGCUGC